GCCUUCGUGGUGUAAUGGUCAACACACCGAGCCGGUAUUUCAGAGGUCCGUGGUUCGAUCCCCGGCGAAGGCA
rnacentral:tRNA from 1 species